GAAAGAAAGGAGAAGAAAAAAAGAAGAAAAAAAAAGCAAACAACCCAAAGCACACAGCUCUGUGAGACUCUGACAAUCCCUGACUACUACCAACUAAAAUGGACAUUCAGAGCCCGUAAGGUUCCCAGAUUUUCAUCUGGUAGAUCCAGGGCAGAAGCAUGGAUGCUAGCGGCACACAGUGCUGCUGCGGUGGCUCAGACACAUCCAGAUGUCAUGGAACAGCAGCACUUGCUUGAGCUGGCAAGCAUGGGCUCAGUGGUGGUACCCUACUCUAGUGGUGAGCAACCCUGUAGAGAUUUGUCAUGUGGCAUGAGUGACAGGAAAGGAAGGGAACAGAUCCCUAACAAGGCUUUGUGACAAGCGUAAAGAAACAAUCACAUUCUUGUUAUUCUUCCUGGUAAUAAGGACAAUGUUUCUGGGAAUAUAUGGCACACCUAAUGGUACCUCGUAACAUGGCUGAUAAUGACACAAAGAGUGAGUGUAGUCAGUGAAACUGCAGCAUAUAAUAACGGCAAUUAACAGAUCUUCAAAGUAUUUUAAAACAACAAAAUCUAUUUUCAAUUCACUGUUGCUAGAAUGAGAUCAAGACCAAAGUCACUAAAUGGCAACUAAGAUUUUUCAGCGCAUGGUAUAAAAAUUUUGAUACAUGAACAACAUGCUUUUAAGUCAUGCUUUCUUCUUAUGCACACGUGUAAGGGAAGCAAAGGAGGAUGUGGGAAAGCCUUUAACCAGCUGAUUCUAAUCGUAUCUGCAGCACUCAUCCAAAGUUCCUGAAUAACUCUAGUUAAGGAUCUUUCUCACUUUCUCAUAAUCUAGGACUACACUUUCCUUGAUGCAGACUUCUGCCUUCCUCCCUUCGAUCUUAAAUUAUAACUCAGUCUGACAGAAUUAGAUCUAUGCAGACAGACACAGUGGAAUGAGUGCAUAUGCACUGAGCAUGGAUGUUGCUUCAGAAGCAGCUGUCAAAGUAAUUAGCAUGUAGUAAAACAGAGCAAACCCACUUUACUUACACACUUCCUGCUCUCCUAUUUCAUUAUCUUUUAGGAGGCAAAAGGGUGUGGCUGGAUGUCAAAAAUGUGUGAGUGCAUCCUGCGGGCUCUGGGGAGGGCAAGGAACAGUCAUGCUGUGGGGCUGACUCCAAAAUGUUUCCAGGUAAGCAAAAAAGUAAAAAUUCUCCUUCUCAUUGUAGUUAUUCAGAAUACAGAGUAGAAAGGAGAACAGCAAUAUUGUGUCAUUCAGUGGUAUUGACAUUUAGGCAGCAGGGCACUUACAAUCCAGAAAUGAUCCAACUUUUUAAUUAUAAAAAAACUUAGAUUAUGGCCUGGCACAGACUUCCUCUUUAAAGGCAUCUCCCCCUGAUCCCUAUAAUUCCCAAACAGAAAUUCUUUUCUAAGAGGUACUUUUUUAAACCCGAGAUUUAGCAGGGUAUCAAAAGGAUUAUUCAAGCACUUAAAACUGAGCUUGUGCUAAAAUCCUUUAGUGAAUGUGGUCUUUUGGAAUUAUCUCUCUAUCUUAUACCAGCCCCUUGAUGUGGGAUGUUUACAUGUAUACAGGCUUAAGUAAUGGCUCAGCUACUCCCGUUAAGGGGUAGACCAAGACCUGCAGUGGAGCUCAGAAAAAAGAUGCAUUAGCUUUGUUAGCUACUGGAGGAAAUAUCAAAACAGUAAUGAAAGGAAAUAUAACAGUGCUUUUUGCCUGCAAGAGUACCUCAGUGGUAGCCUUGUGCUUUUUUCUCUCUCCAUUACCAGGAAAACAUACUGCAUCUAUGAAAGACAUCUUCUGAAGCCUGGCUUUAAUAUUUUAGCUCUUGAUUUCUUCAAAUGUUUUUAGCGUAUUCACAGUCUCCCAUGACUUGAGAGUUUGGUAACUAGAAAUGAAUUUCCUCGUUUCUGCAGUAGUCCUAAUUAUUUAUAAAGCACUGUGGUAAUAUUUCUGAUGCCACAUCAUGACAAAUGGCUCUGUACACUGGGAAUCAUAAAGCAACCCAGGGAGACCUCAUUGCAGCCUUCUAGUAUUUUAUGGGAGCUUACAAGCAGGAGGAAGAGUGACUUUUUACGCAAGCUGAUAAUGAUAGGACAAGUGAGCAUGACUUUAAAAGAGAGGAAAAAUUUAGGUUAGAUGUUAGACAGAAAUUUUUCACUCAAAGAGAGGUGAGGCCCAGGCACAGGCUGCCCAGAGAAAUUAUGGAUGCCCCAUCCCUGGAGGUGCUGAAGGUCAGGUUGGAUGGGGCCCUGGGCAGACCGAUCUGGUGGGUGGCAAAACUGCCCAUGUCUGGGGGCUGGAACUAGAUGAUCCUCGAGGUCCUCUCCAACGUCAGCCAUUCUAUGAUUCUAUGAAACAUCUAUUGGGUUUCCUUCAUACCUACCCAGGUCCUAGCAUCUCUCUUGGCACUACAAAUAAAAGGCAGAACAAUGGAUGCAAGUCUAACCACAUAAAGAAAUCGGGCUCUUUACUCAACUACUGCCUUUGGUCAGAGCUCAAGAUUAUCAGUUAUGGGGUCCAGGUAUACGACAAACAAAAUAUCUCUUAUUCAAAACAGAAGAAUAUAUGAAGUACUCUAAAUUUUUCUUGCCCAUUUAAAUAUUAAACAUACCUGACUGUCUUCUUCAGGUGGGAAAAGGACAGCCCUGUCCCAGCUCCUAAGAAGCUUGCACACUUCUUUCUCUACCUCCUGCCUUCUACUUAUUUUCAUUUUUCUACUAGAGCCUUUUUUAAUUUUUCAGCACCUAACUCACAAGUAUUUUAGAGCACAUGCAGUAGUACACCACUGAAAGCUGCAGCUACCCCUCCCAGAAAUGAGGAUAGGCUGUGUGAAUAUGAGCACAUGCCAGGUCCAGGAUGUUUGCAGAAGUAGAAGACACAACCAAGAG
ensembl:lncRNA